rnacentral:rRNA from 1 species
UACGUAGGGCGCAAGCGUUAAUCGGAAUUACUGGGCGUAAAGCGUACUCAGGCGGCUUUGCAAGACAGGUGUGAAAUCCCCGGGCCUAACCUGGGAACUGCAUUUGUGACUGCAUGGCUAGAGUCUGUCAGAGGGGGGUGGAAUUCCACGUGUAGCAGUGAAAUGCGUAGAGAUGUGGAAGAACACCGAUGGCGAAGGCAGCCCCCUGGGAUGAGACUGACGAUCAUGUACGAAAGCGUGGGGAGCAAACAGG